GACGAACGCUGGCGGCGUGCCUAACACAUGCAAGUCGAGCGGAAAGGCCCUGCUUUUGUGGGGUGCUCGAGUGGCGAACGGGUGAGUAACACGUGAGUAACCUGCCCUUGACUUUGGGAUAACUUCAGGAAACUGGGGCUAAUACCGGAUAUGAGCUCCUGCUGCAUGGUGGGGGUUGGAAAGAUUCGGCGGUUGGGGAUGGACUCGCGGCUUAUCAGCUUGUUGGUGGGGUAGUGGCUUACCAAGGCUUUGACGGGUAGCCGGCCUGAGGGGGUGACCGGCCACAUUGGGACUGAGAUACGGCCCAGACUCCUACGGGAGGCAGCAGUGGGGAAUAUUGCACAAUGGGCGGAAGCCUGAUGCAGCAACGCCGCGUGCGGGAUGACGGCCUUCGGGUUGUAAACCGCUUUCGCCUGUGACGAAGCGUGAGUGACGGUAAUGGGUAAAGAAGCACCGGCUAACUACGUG
rnacentral:rRNA from 1 species